UUAAGCUGAAGCUCUCUAGGAGGAACUGUGGACAAGUGCUACUGACAGAACAUGGCUGACAUGCGGGUCCCGUGUAGCAGUGCCUUCACAGCAUCGCAGCUGCUGUUGAAAUGUAAAGCCUUCAAGUGAAUAUAAAAGAAUCAUUUUGAGAAGACGUGCUGCCCUAGAACAAUUUUUGGAGUUUACUCAUAGAUGCACAGCCCCACCAGUCACACCCGAUGUUCAUGUAAGCAAAGACCCUGACCACUCUGCAGAAAAGCAUCCAGUCUCUUUUCUCCGUAUAAAUCUUCAGCCCCUCACAAGAUGGCUGCAGUGAUUUUGUGGCAACCCAGAACUGUUGUUUGCAAGAUCUCUGGAAUACCCUUGACCAGCAUGUGGUGCUGUGAUUUGGGGAGAUUGGUUAUCCCCCAUGUAAGAAUGCAGAGGACCUGUUCUCUAGACAUCUCUGAUCACCAUCAUUUGAUGAGCAAGGGUGUGAAAAUUGACCUUUCCAACUGCAAACUGCUCCUCUGUUAUGUUAUGUUCUCCCCUUGCAACAGUCUCCCUUGCCUCCCAUGGUGUUCCCAUGCAUAGCUGCAAUUGUUGGGUGUUCACAAACCUUAGAAGGUCUGAAAAAAAUUAAACAGAAAUUUGAGGAGGCAGUUUCUUCAAUGAAAGG